UACGUAGGGGGCAAGCGUUGUCCGGAAUCACUGGGCGUAAAGGGCGCGUAGGCGGCGCGGGAAGUCAUCGGUGAAAGUUCAGGGCUCAACUCUGAAUCGGCCGGUGAUACUCUCGUGCUUGAGCACUGUAGAGGCAGGUGGAAUUCCGGGUGUAGCGGUGGAAUGCGUAGAGAUCCGGAAGAACACCGGUGGCGAAGGCGGCCUGCUGGGCAGUAGCUGACGCUGAUGCGCGACAGCGUGGGGAGCAAACAGG
rnacentral:rRNA from 1 species